rnacentral:sRNA from 1 species
UAGAACAAGGACUACUUGUUCCGGAGCAG